rnacentral:lncRNA from 1 species
CUUCUUCUAUCCCGUAUUACAGAUUGCAAAUGUGCUACCCAAUCUCAGAGUGAUGCUGGGCAUGUGGUUCUUCACGUGUCCUGCAAACAAAAAGUAAUUGUCAACUUAAAUGAAAACCGUAACAACAAAUAUAAUCAACUGAUUACCAUACAUGUGCAACUAUAGAAUUAUUUUACGAGCAUAGCGUCAGAAUUUAUGUAAAUUUAUCUUUACAUACAUAUGAAAACCGCGAACUAGUGAAUCAAAUUUCUAGUUCCGUACUAGAAGAUCUUUAUCGCCAAACACGAACCAUUCCGAUAAUAACCAGAUCCUCACCAGUUCAAAAUCAACGAAAUGUGGUACUUUUAAAAAAACCAUUUUAUUUCACUUUUUUCAUUAGAAAUCUCUAUCUAAGGUUACGAAUUUAGUACUGAUUCGGAACUAUAGAAAAAAAGGGGCGCAGAACGAACAAGAUAUUAUAUGUCGAACUUAGAACUGAUUCAGAACUAACGAAACAGGGAUGCAUCGGGGGACUUGUUUACUUUAAAUAGAUAUGUAUUUGGUGGCUUUAUCGUUCAAAUACGCUUCCAUUCUGACCAAUCUAACCAAUAACCAAUAACAGAAAGCCCCUCUGCAAUCUCAGCUACAGCCAAAGAACUGGUUCGGAACUAUCGAAAGGGAUGCAGCGGGGGACAAUUGACACUUCCGAGGACAUCGCCAUGUUAAAUUCGCCGGUUGUUUGCAUGAAAAAGAGGUUUAUCGCCAGUACUGGGUAUAAAUGUACUAGAUGCGCCCAAGUUCAGAACUAGAGAUUUUCCCCACAGGGUAUGUACGCGAUAGUGCGGCGCUCACCAAUGGCAUGAUCUGCGGCAUGUAUGCUUAAUAAGCAAGGUACAAAAGAAGAUACGUGAUGCAGUGAUUUCGAAACAUUUUAUCAUAUUAAAGGUUGUACCAAUGCAAACAUUUGUAAAUAAGUAGCAGAAUGUUCGGUAUUUUUGAAUGACUAGUUCAAUUUUUGAUGAACAUUUUUUUAAUUAAAGAAGCAUUCAAUUAAUUUAAAAUGUUAAGAAAAUUUAAUGCAUAUAAAGCAAUCCUUUCCGAAUAUGUGCUCGCAAGUAAAAGCAUGCGAAUACCGCAGGGUAUCCCGAUAAGCUGUAAAAGGCUCGAAAUCUUCGAACAUCUGAAAACUUUGAUGAAGAUCUCAGAAUUUGUACGAAAUAUUGUUUUAGUUUCGAGUUUUUCAAGUCUUAUUUUUAUUUCAACACAAUGUUAACCUUCUAAACCCAUUUAAGUUGUUUUAUCAAAAUGUCACAGUUUCGACCGGAACUGGGUCAAACGGACCGGAAGUCCGUUCUUUUAACCGGAAUUCCAAUCCAGAAAAGGGUUUCCGAGUACGUAUUUUUGUCCGCAGAAUCCAAAUCUUUUAUAAAAACAUGUAUGUCUCGUUUAAAAAGAUUGACUUCCGACUCGAUAAUUCAUAUUUUUGCGUUUUCCAAUAAAAAAAAAACAUCCAGGAAGUGUUCUUCUCAUUUAGAGGGUGAAAAAGGCACAUCCGGGAAAAAAUUUUUGAACAAAAGUUACUUAUUUUCGCCCCCAAAUUCCGAACAUGUAAUAAAAAUAUAUAUAUCCUAUAUAAAAGGAUAGACUUCCGGUCUUUUUAACCCACUUCCGGUGGAAGUCCCAGUUACCAGCCCUUGGUAAUUGAUAUUUUUGCGUUUUCCAAUAAAAAAAAACCCUGUAUACCCGUAAAAAGAAACACCACUUAGCAGCUUGUUACUUCUUCUACGUUUCUCAUUUAUAAAAUGUAUAAUAUUUGCGUUACACUGUUUUAAAAAUUAAAUUAUAUUUUUCAUUAAAUUUUUAGAAAGCUAUUGCUUGAAGAAAAGUCUUUCGUAUGGAAACGGUCAAUUAUGGUAAUUAUCUUGAAGCCUCUUUUGUGUCUUUAGAAAGACUAAUAAAUAGAAGGUGUUAGCAUUAUUCUGUUUGCCAUUUAGCAAUAAAUUAUCUGAAAAUUAAACGAAAUUUAAAAAAAAUAUUU